rnacentral:lncRNA from 1 species
GGCAGCCAGCAGAAGGCUGAUGAAGGAGCUUGAAGAAAUCCGCAAAUGUGGAAUGAAAAACUUCGUAACAUCCAGGUUUGAGGAAACUAAUUCUUGACUUGGCAAGGGCUAAUUGUUCCUGACAACCCUCCAUAUGAUAAGGGGGCCUUCAGAAUGGAGAUCAGAUUUCCAGCAGAGUACCCAUUUAAACCACUGAAGACCACAGUUAAAACAAAACAAAGAUUUAUCACCCAAACAAUGACAAAAAGGAGCAAGUCUGUCUGCAAGUAAUUAGUGCUGAAAACUGGAAGCCAGCAACCAAAACUGACCAAGUAAUCCAGGCUGUCAUAGCACUUGUGAACAACCCCCAGCCCGAGCACCCAUUUCGGGCUGACCUAGCUGAAGAGUACUCUAAGGACUGUAAAAAAUUCUAUAAGAAUGCUAAAGAGUUUACAAAGAAAUAUGAGGAAAAGCGACCCAUGGACU